rnacentral:rRNA from 1 species
GUGGGGAAUCUUAGACAAUGGGCGCAAGCCUGAUCUAGCCAUGCCGCGUGAGCGAUGAAGGCCUUAGGGUUGUAAAGCUCUUUCGUGGGGGAAGAUAAUGACUGUACCCCAAGAAGAAGCCCCGGCUAACUCCGUGCCAGCAGCCGCGGUAAUACGGAGGAUUCGAGCGUUAUCCGGAUUUAUGGGGAUUAAAGGGUGCGUAGGCGGAUGAAUAAGUCAGAGGUGAAAUGCAUAUGCUGAACAUAUGAAUUGCCUUUGAAACUGUUCGACUAGGAUACAAAUGGAGCAGGCGGAAUGAACUGUGUAGAGGUGACAUUAAUAGAUAUAGUUCAGAACAUCGAUCGCGAAGGCAGCUUGCUAAGAUGUGAUUGACGCUGAGGCACGAAAGCGAGGGGAGCGAACAGGAUUAGAAACCCGUGUAGUCC